UAGCGUAGGGGGCUAGCGUUGUUCCGGAUUUGAUUGGCGUAAAGAGCGCGUAGGCGGCCGAGUAAGUCCGACGUGAAAUCUGGAGGCUCAACCUCCAGCGGUCGUUGGAAACUACUCGGCUAGAGUCCGGAAGAGGAGAGUGGAAUUCCUGGUGUAGCGGUGAAAUGCGCAGAUAUCAGGAAGAACACCGAUGGCGAAAGCAGCUCUCUGGGACGGUACUGACGCUGAGGCGCGAAAAGCGUGGGGGAGCGAACAGG
rnacentral:rRNA from 1 species